UGGGGAAUUUUGGACAAUGGGCGAAAGCCUGAUCCAGCAAUGCCGCGUGUGUGAAGAAGGCCUUCGGGUUGUAAAGCACUUUUGUCCGGAAAGAAAUCCUUGGCUCUAAUACAGUCGGGGGAUGACGGUACCGGAAGAAUAAGCACCGGCUAACUACGUGCCAGCAGCCGCGGUAAUACGUAGGGUGCAAGCGUUAAUCGGAAUUACUGGGCGUAAAGCGUGCGCAGGCGGUUUGCUAAGACCGAUGUGAAAUCCCCGGGCUCAACCUGGGAACUGCAUUGGUGACUGGCAGGCUAGAGUAUGGCAGAGGGGGGUAGAAUUCCACGUGUAGCAGUGAAAUGCGUAGAGAUGUGGAGGAAUACGAUGGCGAAGGCAGCCCCCUGGGCCAAUACUGACGCUCAUGCACGAAAGCGUGGGGAGCAAACAGGAUUAGAUACCCUGGUAGUCCACGCCCUAAACGAUGUCAACUAGUUGUGGGGAUUCAUUUCCUUAGUAACGUAGCUAACGCGUGAAGUUGACCGCCUGGGGAGUACGGUCGCAAGAUUAAACUCAAUGAAUUGACGGGUCAUAGCUGUUUCCU
rnacentral:rRNA from 1 species